GCCUGGGUGGCUCAGUCGGUUAAGCGGCUGACUUCAGUUCAGGUCAUGAUCUCGCGGUCCGUGGGUUCGAGCCCCGCAUCGGGCU
rnacentral:tRNA from 1 species